rnacentral:rRNA from 1 species
GAUGAACGCUGGCGGCGUGCCUAAUACAUGCAAGUCGAGCGAACGGACGAGAAGCUUGCUUCUCUGAUGUUAGCGGCGGACGGGUGAGUAACACGUGGAUAACCUACCUAUAAGACUGGGAUAACUUCGGGAAACCGGAGCUAAUACCGGAUAAUAUUUUGAACCGCAUGGUUCAAAAGUGAAAGACGGUCUUGCUGUCACUUAUAGAUGGAUCCGCGCUGCAUUAGCUAGUUGGUAAGGUAACGGCUUACCAAGGCAACGAUGCAUAGCCGACCUGAGAGGGUGAUCGGCCACACUGGAACUGAGACACGGUCCAGACUCCUACGGGAGGCAGCAGUAGGGAAUCUUCCGCAAUGGGCGAAAGCCUGACGAAGCAACGCCGCGUGAGUGAUGAAGGUCUUCGGAUCGUAAAACUCUGUUAUUAGGGAAGAACAUAUGUGUAAGUAACUGUGCACAUCUUGACGGUACCUAAUCAGAAAGCCACGGCUAACUACGUGCCAGCAGCCGCGGUAAUACGUAGGUGGCAAGCGUUAUCCGGAAUUAUUGGGCGUAAAGCGCGCGUAGGCGGUUUUUUAGUCUGAUGUGAAAGCCCACGGCUCAACCGUGGAGGGUCAUUGGAAACUGGAAAACUUGAGUGCAGAAGAGGAAAGUGGAAUUCCAUGUGUAGCGGUGAAAUGCGCAGAGAUAUGGAGGAACACCAGUGGCGAAGGCGACUUUCUGGUCUGUAACUGACGCUGAUGUGCGAAAGCGUGGGGAUCAAACAGGAUUAGAUACCCUGGUAGUCCACGCCGUAAACGAUGAGUGCUAAGUGUUAGGGGGUUUCCGCCCCUUAGUGCUGCAGCUAACGCAUUAAGCACUCCGCCUGGGGAGUACGACCGCAAGGUUGAAACUCAAAGGAAUUGACGGGGACCCGCACAAGCGGUGGAGCAUGUGGUUUAAUUCGAAGCAACGCGAAGAACCUUACCAAAUCUUGACAUCCUUUGACAACUCUAGAGAUAGAGCUUUCCCCUUCGGGGGACAAAGUGACAGGUGGUGCAUGGUUGUCGUCAGCUCGUGUCGUGAGAUGUUGGGUUAAGUCCCGCAACGAGCGCAACCCUUAAGCUUAGUUGCCAUCAUUAAGUUGGGCACUCUAAGUUGACUGCCGGUGACAAACCGGAGGAAGGUGGGGAUGACGUCAAAUCAUCAUGCCCCUUAUGAUUUGGGCUACACACGUGCUACAAUGGACAAUACAAAGGGCAGCGAAACCGCGAGGUCAAGCAAAUCCCAUAAAGUUGUUCUCAGUUCGGAUUGUAGUCUGCAACUCGACUACAUGAAGCUGGAAUCGCUAGUAAUCGUAGAUCAGCAUGCUACGGUGAAUACGUUCCCGGGUCU